rnacentral:rRNA from 1 species
UUAACUUCCAGGGCCGAGAUCACGGACGCCGCGGCGGCCACGUUCGCGGACUCCACCGUGAUCCCCGACAGGUACGCCCGGCCGGACGAGGUGAGGGACGGGGUCGUGGUGGGCGACGACGAGAGCUACGAGCUGCCGCUCGUAGACAUGGCGAGGCUGCUCGACUCGGAGUCCUCGGAGGCGGAGACCGCCAAGCUUGGCUCUGCGUGCCGAGACUGGGGCUUCUUCCAGCUAACAAACCACGGAGUCGACGAAUCAGUUGUGCAAGACAUGAAAGAUAGCACCAUGCAGUUCUUCCGCUUGCCGCUGGACAAGAAGAAAGCAGUGGCCACCCGGGCCGGCGGCUUGGAAGGGUUCGGGCACCACUUCGCCGGAGCAUCCUGCGCCAAGCUGGACUGGGCAGAGAGCCUAAUCCUCCUCACGCAACAAAAGGAGCAGAGGAGCAUGGAGUUCUGGCCGGCCGAUCCGGCGACACUCAGGCCCUCACUGGACAGGUACUCGCUCGAGAUGUCGCGCCUCACGAGCCGCCUCCUGGGGUUCAUGGCGAGCGACCUCGGGGUGGAGCGGGAGGCGCUGGCCGGGGCCUUCCGGGGCAAGAGGCAGAGCGUGGCCCUGCACCACUACCCUCCGUGCCGGCACCCGGACAAGGUGCUGGGCAUCACGCCGCACCACGACGGCCUCGGCCUGACGCUGCUGCUGCACGUGAACGACACCCCCGGCCUGCAGGUGAGGAGGGGCGGCAGGUGGUUCCCGCUGGACCCGCUGCCGGGCGCCCUCGUCGUCAACGUCGGCGACAUCCUCCAGGUCCUGACCAACGGCAGGUACAGGAGCGCCGAGCACAGGGUGCUGGCGGACGCCGAGAGAGGGCGGGCGACCGUGGUGGUGUUCCAGGACACGUGCGUCGCCGGGACGGUGAGGCCGCUCCCGGGGCUCGGCGAGGCCAGGUACAGGGCGAUCGAGUACGUUGAGUAUCUCAAGGGGAAUUACAGGGGGCUGGCUGAAGGGACCAGGUUCGUGGAUAGCCUCGAGAUCAGUGUGGCGUAG